GCAGUCGAGCGGUAGAGAGGUGCUUGCACCUCUUGAGAGCGGCGGACGGGUGAGUAAAGCCUAGGAAUCUGCCUGGUAGUGGGGGAUAACGCUCGGAAACGGACGCUAAUACCGCAUACGUCCUACGGGAGAAAGCAGGGGACCUUCGGGCCUUGCGCUAUCAGAUGAGCCUAGGUCGGAUUAGCUAGUUGGUGAGGUAAUGGCUCACCAAGGCGACGAUCCGUAACUGGUCUGAGAGGAUGAUCAGUCACACUGGAACUGAGACACGGUCCAGACUCCUACGGGAGGCAGCAGUGGGGAAUAUUGGACAAUGGGCGAAAGCCUGAUCCAGCCAUGCCGCGUGUGUGAAGAAGGUCUUCGGAUUGUAAAGCACUUUAAGUUGGGAGGAAGGGCAUUAACCUAAUACGUUAGUGUUUUGACGUUACCGACAGAAUAAGCACCGGCUAACUCUGUGCCAGCAGCCGCGGUAAUACAGAGGGUGCAAGCGUUAAUCGGAAUUACUGGGCGUAAAGCGCGCGUAGGUGGUUCGUUAAGUUGGAUGUGAAAUCCCCGGGCUCAACCUGGGAACUGCAUUCAAAACUGUCGAGCUAGAGUAUGGUAGAGGGUGGUGGAAUUUCCUGUGUAGCGGUGAAAUGCGUAGAUAUAGGAAGGAACACCAGUGGCGAAGGCGACCACCUGGACUGAUACUGACACUGAGGUGCGAAAGCG
rnacentral:rRNA from 1 species